rnacentral:rRNA from 1 species
GCUUCGGGAAUGCUAGUGGUACGGGUGAGGACACGUGAGAACUGCUUCAUUGGGAUACUCGGGAACGGGGCUAUACGGGAUAUCCGUCUCUGCGGUAUGGAGCGGAAAAAUUUGAUGAAGAUGUCUUCGCGGCUAUCAGCUAGUUGGUGAGGUAAUGGUCACAAGGCGAGACGGUUAGCGGCCUGAGAGGGCGACGGGCCACACUGGGACUGAGACACGGCCCAGACUCCUACGGGAGGCAGCAGUGGGGAAUAUUGGGCAAUGGGCGAAAGCCUGACCCAGCGACGCCGCGUGAGGGAUGAAGCCUUCGGGUUGUAAACCUCUUUCAGUAGGGAAGAAGCGAAAAGUGACGGUACCUAAAGAAGAAGCACCGGCUAACUAUGUGCCAGCAGCCGGGGUAAUACAUAGGGUGCAAGCGUUGUCCGGAAUUAUUGGGCGUAAAGAGCUCGUAAGUCGUUUGACACGUCGAUUGUGAAAAUCUGAGGCUCAAACUCAGACCUGCAGUCGAUACGGUCAAACUAGAGUGUGGUAGGGGAGACUGGAAUUCCUGGUGUAGCGGUGGAAUGCGCAGAUAUCAGGAGGAACACAAUUGGCGAAGGCAGGUCUCUGGCCAUAACUGACACUGAGGAGCGAAAGCGCGGGGAGCGAACAGGAUUAGAUACCCUGGUAGUCCGCGCCGUAAACGGUGGGCACUAGUUGUGGGUCCCUUCCACGGGAUCCGCGACGCAGCAAACGCAUUAAGUGCCCCGCCUGGGGAGUACGAUCGCAAGAUUAAAACUCAAGGGAAUUGACGGGGCCCCGCACAAGCAGCGGAGCAUGCGGCUUAAUUCGACGCAACGCGAAGAACCUUACCAAGGCUUGACAUAUAGCGAAAAGUGGCAGAGAUGUCAUGUCCGCAAGGGCGCUAUACAGGUGGUGCAUGGUUGUCGUCAGCUCGUGUCGUGAGAUGUUGGGUUAAGUCCCGCAACGAGCGCAACCCUCGUUCUGUGUUACCAGCAUUUAGUUGGGGACUCACAGGAGACUGCCGGGGUCACUCGGAGGAAGGUGGGGAUGACGUCCAAUCAUCAUGCCCCUUAUGUCUUGGGCUGCACGCAUGCUACCAUGGCCGGUACAAGUGCUGCGAGAUCGUAAGAUUGAGCGAAUCACAUAAAGCCGGUCUCAGUUCGGAUUGAGGUCUCAACUCGACCUCAUGAAUUCG